CUGGAGCCUUUUUUAUAAUAUCUAUUUACAUUACAUUUAACCCACGGACAGAAAUCAAAAGAGAAGCGGUGUUCCUUGAAGUUUCCUAUUUUGGUGUCCUUUUGAUAAAACAAAUUUUCCAUGGAUAUAAAAAGAAAGCAGAAGCGGUUGCCCAUAACUGCAAUAUGUUUCGAGCUUUGUAUUUUGGUGCUCUGAUCUCAGAACAUAUUUAAUAAAUCAAUAAUUAAUAAACGAAAUUAAAAAUUAGUUAUAUUAUCUUAGUACUAUCUAUUUCUAUAUCCAUGAUGACUGGCAAAAAGAAAAUAA